rnacentral:tRNA from 1 species
GGCGGCGUACCCAAGCGGUAAGGGAGAGGUCUGCAAAACCUUUAUGCAGCGGUUCAAAUCCGCUCGCCGCCU